AAAGAAGCUGUGCUCAGGGAUUUAAUAAAAUUUCCACAUCUUCAAAGUGCACUGGGUGGGGUCUGGGAAGUGAAAGAUGGAGUCAUUUGUAUCAUCCUUUUCUUCCCCAGGAAGCCAACCCAGAGCCACUGUAAAUGUGGGCUUUGGCUGAAGGAGGAAGCAACGGGCCAGCCGCACGUGUGCAGGGGCGACCGACCUCUCCCGGCCCGGCCCAAGCUGCUUUGCAGGAGAGGCACUUGGGGCUCCAGACUGACAGCUUCCCACCUUCCCUCCCAGACUGCCAGGGGACGCAGGGUGGAGGGCUGGCCUUCUGGGCGCCCCCAACUCCAGAGCCCCGAGAGACGCACCUGGGGCCAGUCCCUGGCCCCUCGCAGCCUUGGGCCUCCGUCCCCGGACAGGGUCUCUUGCACCUGGGGUCGUGGUGGGCAGGGUGACAAAAUGAGCCCAGGCCUCGGUCAGGGCACCACUGUCUGGGCCCUUGUUCACAGCACGAAGCAGCAGCCUGGAUGCGGCCGGGGCCAUGAGAGCAGGUUCCUGGGGGGAGAGAGUGCUCCCUCUGUCAGGUGCCCCUGCAAGCGGCCUCUCAUCUGGGCCUCCUGGACUCCCGGCCUCACCAGGACCCAGAUUCUUCCGAAGACGCCCCUGGUCUCGGCCCAGCCCCAGCGGCCCCCUCCGUCCCCAGCUGCCGUUCUGUCCACGCGCCGGCCCGUCAGCCUCUAGGUUGCCCGUCCCCCUGCCUCCCCCAGAGCAUGGAUACAAGUGGGUGCAGAGGAGUCUUCUCCCAUCUAGAAGGAGAGCUUCUAGGUGGUGAUCCCGUGCCUGCGGAAGCCAACAACGAAUGCACUUGUGCGUCACAAGGGACUUCUGGAGGUGGGUUCCUGGUGUCCUAAGUUGGAACAUUCCACAGAACAGUGAAGGACACAGGGAGGGUGCAGAGCAACCUUCGACCUUGCCGUGGCUGGAUGGUGCUCCUGACACACCCUGCCCAGGACCCAAGAGCUCAUUUCCCCAGCUGCCAAGGGCGUUGGCUGCUGAGAGGUCCAGCUGGGCCUCUCUGCCUUCCCCAGGGGCGCCUCCAAACAAUGACCGCUGGCUGGGGGGUCACCACCGCGCCAACUCUUUAGGGCCACGCCAGCCCCAGAGCUGAGAUAGGCUGAGGCGUCUGUUGUGGCUGCAUCGCAGAUCAAUGUCUUAAUCUGCUUCCUUUCCCCCCACCCCUCCCCAGGUGCUGUCCCCAGGAGCACUCUCCCCUCACCCCUCCCCAGGUGCUGUCCCCAGGAGCACUCCCCACACACCUCCAUGCAAAUUUCCAUCUCGAAAACUGUUUUCAGGGAACCGGACACAAAGGAAAACCUAUAUUUCAGAACUGCCACCUACACUGCACAUCAACUCCAUCAAGUGCGGCCUCACCUGGGAGCCCCUGUGACUGUCAUCACGCACCUGGGAGAGGGCAUCCAGAGGGAAGAGAGAGAGUCAAGGCCAUCACUCCUCCUGGUGGAGAUGUGGACCUCAGGAUUUCCAGGCUGGAAAUGUUCUCAUUCUUUCUGGCAGUUUUACCCAAGGCUUGGCAGCCUUCGCCAUCUGGAAGUUCUUUCUUACUUCAAACUGGAAUCCUUCCUUCUGUGAUGUAGCUCCACUUCCUCUCCCCUUUCCUCCAUGGAGCUGUAUUCUUGCCAAGAAGGAAAGUUAAAAGGGAACAGAGACAUAUGGUUUUCCUAUUAAGACUGACGCCCACAUUUAGGAGGAGAGAGGAAAGCGUUCAAAUUAGGGGAACGGAAAUACAUUUGCAUGGCACCAACACUUGGAAUCGUUGUUUUAAAAAGGUUAACCAAAACAAUGAGUGCCUCUUUUUGUCCAGCUUAUUAACUUUUUAGAGAAUUAAGCAGAUACUGGAGACCCUUCCUCAGAGGCAGGGUAGCCUGGAGAGCCCUGGGUUUGCAGUCCUGACACCUUGCAGUCAAAAGCUGGUUACUACCACCUGCCAGCAGGGCCACACCGGCAGUGUGACCACGGGGAGUGCUCUUCGCCUUUGAGGCCCCCUUGUCCUCCUACCUCUGUCACAGGGUUAUUGAGAGUUAAUGUGAGGAUGUGAGAAAGCCCAGUAAGCCAUGAAGCCUGGUUGUAGCGUGAAUAUCCAAGACUGACAUCCCUCAGAUUUCCUGAGCAACUACCAGGUGCGGAUCCCACCAUAGUCUUUCUUCUUGACAAAUCGACAAACGGACACAAAAUUCAUAUGGGAAUGCAAAGGACCUAAAACCACCAAAUGACUUUGAAAAAGAACAAAGUUGGAGAGCUAGCAGCUACCUGGUUUCAAGUCCUGUGAUGGAGCCCAAGUGGUCAGGUGGGUGUGGUUUUGGCAUAAUGAUAGACAAAUCGUCGAGAAAUGGGCCUACACAUAUAGGGUUAACUGAUUUUUUUUUCCCCACAAAGGUGCAAAGGCAGCUCUGUGGAGAAAAGAUGGGCUAUUAAUAAAUGAUGCUAGGACAUUUGGAUAUCCCGUAUG
rnacentral:lncRNA from 12 species